rnacentral:rRNA from 1 species
GUCUAUGGCCAUACCACCAUGAACAUGCCUGAUCUCGUCUGAUCUCGGAAGCUAAAAACGGUCGGGCCUGGUUAGUACUUGGAUGGGAAUAAAGACCAGUAUCCCUUUAUCU